GGGCCCAUGGUUCAAUGGUAGAACACUCGCAUUCUGUUCCCCCCCUGCCCCCCAAAGCAGAAUUGCGAGAGACCCGCGCUCGAUCCGCGGUGGGUCCA